UACAGCCAUAUCAUAUUGAAACACUGGUUCCCAUAUGAUCACUAAAGUUAAACAACAUCAAGCCUAGUCAUUACCUAGAUGGAUGAUUGCUUGGGAAUACCAAGUGCUGUAAG
rnacentral:rRNA from 1 species